CGUGAGUGGGGGGGGGAGCGCCUUCGUUGGGACUGUCUCCAGUGCGGGUCGCAGCCCCGCAGGCAAGGCCGCUCUGGUGAAGUGAGGUGACGCGGCCGUCGUCUGCCUUUGGGCCGGUUACUGCUGUGAGGUGUUGCUGUGGGGCCGGGAGCUGCUGCUGCUGCUGCUGUGUGCAGAGUGCCGUUUGCUCCCUAGGCAGCCCCAGCCCUGAAGGAAGCACCUUGCAUCCGAGAAAACCCAUAGAGAAUCAGCAUUUACUUUGUCUCAUGAAAAAUGCCAGUGACCAAGGACAUAUAAAGUGCAAGAAGAAAUUCAGCUUAAUACCAAUGCAUGAAAUAAAGGUAUCCUUCUCUGUAGAAAAGGCCAUGACUUACACAAGGUGGUCUGACCAGCUCCUGCAGUGCAGUCCUUCAUGUAUGGUAUGGCUUUUGCGAGCUGCAGUCAUUGACUUCAGAAAAUGUGGAUAUUUUCCACAUUUACAGAAUUAUUGUUAUAUUCUAAUACAGUAUGAGUGUGUAUGCUGGAUGCUGCUAGAUAUUAGGAAGGGAGACAAACAGAUGAGAUUCACUAUAGUGGAAGCCUUAUAGGAAUGCACAGUUUCUUUUGGUGCUCCAGAUAAUGCAUGAGAAAUUGUGUACUGACUACCUCUAUGCUCUGUUAUUCCUGCUGGCUAUCAGGAAAGAAGAGUUGGCCCCCACCUUUCUUGGUCAAAGAAGUUAAAUUGUGGAAUAUAUAAAAUGGAAACUUUGAGACAAACCUUUUCACUUUUCAUUGUCUUUUGCCAGAUAUUUUCUUUCUAAAGUCUUGUACUGGUACAACAGAAACUCCAGGUUGCAAAAGGGUGUCAUACAUGCUUGUAUUUUCUUGUUGGCAAUGGACAGAAUACCUGAUGUGGAUCCUUCUUUGCUACAGUGAUUCCUACCUUCCCUAACAGAUUCUUUAGGUUUCUGCAAAAAAGCAGAACUUAGAGUGUACAUAACAGCUGAAAUUGGUUCUAGCAGUUUUAAGAGCUGAAGGAACAUAACAUGGCAUAAAGCUACUUUGCUCCCAAGUGAUAGGCCUCAGGCUAAAUAAUACUUAGGUGGGUGCAUGAAUCCUGCAUUUGUUCUGAGAUGAUGAAGGAGGAAUAUUGAAAACCAAAUGCAGUGAGAUGUAGAUACUCACAGGGGGUAACGCUGUCGGCAUUCCUUAUAAGGAACUCCUGGCUGUAAAGCAGUAUGUACUUGGGUCAUGGCUUGCCAGCCACCUGGUCAGUGUAAAGCAUUGACACAAGUGCAGAAGGAAAAUUGGAUUCAUCAGCAUGGAUUCAACCUUCAGUCCCAAAAUAAUGUUUUACAAAGAAAGGCUGCUAAACUUCUUUAGAGUUUAGCUACUCCAAGAGCUAAGUAGUUGUUACUUAAUUACUUAAUUAUUAUACUGUUUGGCAAUGGAAGGGCUGUAGAUUUUUCUGGUCUUCUAAAUACAUAAGCAAACUCUGCACAAUCCAAGCUGAAGGUUCUAGCUUGGAUACAAUAAGCAAUGUAACUCCAUUAACAUAAAUACGUGCUACUUGAUGACUAAAAUACUUUUGGAGAUUGAUUAAAGUUUGUGCUGUGGCAAUUUCAUACUGAGCUAAAUCAGGAGAUCACAUUAUCCUUUUUACUAGUUCUAGCUAAGGGAAGCCAACAAAAACUUGGGAGAGUGAUAAUGUUUUAAACCAUUUUUAUAGUCAAUGUCUGCCCAUGCCUACCUGAGGAAGUGCCAUGGUUAAGCAGACACAUUGCUAGUGAUAUUUCAGCAAUGUCUCUCAGAACUGGUUGCAGAAUUUCUACAAUGCACUGUAUGGCACUGUGCAGGCAAUCGAUGACAUGACUUACCAGGUAGAUUAUAUGAUUCUACUUACUUCAGUGCUAAUUUUUCUAAUUGGGCAUAUAUUGCUUAAUGUGUGUUUUUAUCUGAACUUGAUGAAAAACUGUCAGGUUAAAUUUUACUCAGUGUGUAUUUUGGAGGGAGGAAAUGGACUUUUACAAAAUGCACUUUCUAAUAUAAACUAUCCAGUACUUUGGUAUGAACAGAAGCAAGCAUUCUUAUGUUUUAAAUAAGAAAUCUUGUGGAACCCAAGCUUAUCAGAUUUUUUCCAGAAACUUGCUGGUUCCCUGCCAGUUCAUCAACCCAUCCACUUGGGAGGUUGCCCAGCCUUCCAAAAGCUGCAGCUGCCUCUGCAUCAAGGAUGGCAGCACUUCCAGGGCUGCAGGCUCCAGAGCGGGUGGCCAGAUGGACUUCCUCUGAGGUACCACCCAAAGGGACUCCAUCAUCAUGGGGUGAUGUGCUGCGCAGACAGCCUCCCAGCAGGCUGGGAGGUAGGAUAAGAAACUUUCAGGUCUGGUGAUGUUUUAUCUUGUGCCAGCUUUUAGUAGUUUUCUAAGAAAUUGUUUUGUAAGUGGACAUCCUAUUCCUGUCACUAAGGUAGACCUUGUAUCUGAAAAGAUGGAUGUGUGCAUUUAACACAUUACUUUGUAGCAGUCCUGCUUCCAAGGUUCAGGUAGAAAUGACACAAAAUACAACAGCGUGUCUAGAGGAAUGUUGCUUUUUAAGCUGAAAUUUGGCUUCUGACAGAGGUUAGGUUUUGUUGUGGUUUUGGGUUUUCUUUUUAUCUUAACAGACAUUCUUGUUUCUCCUACAAAUAUCCAAUCUUAUUUUAGAUUCAACCAGACCUCAGCAAUAUCUUGUGGACUAACAUGCAAUUUUUUACUCAGAUAUUCAUGGUAGUUAAUACACCCUUCGUAUUAAUGAUGUAUUGUGGAAGGACUGUAAUAAUAAGUAGAAGCUGAUAAGCUUUGUGUUGAUGUGUAAAUUGUUGUUGACCUUAACAGUUUUUCUCCUAUCUUUUUAGUGCUGAGAACAGUACAAUUUAAUAGCACAGAGCAAUGCUAGGGAAGCUUUGGAGAUUGUAACUCUUCAUGUUUGUAUAAAAGUAAGUGCUAACCAUUACUCAAACAGGUUAAUAAAAUAAAAGCAUACAAAGCAA